UACGAAGGGUGCAAACGUUAUUCGGAAUCACUGGGCGUAAAGGGUGUGUAGACGGCUUGAUAAGUCAAUUGUUAAAUUUUCCAGCCCAACUGGAAGUCGGCAGUUGAAACUAUCUCGCUAGAGAAUGAAAGAGAGAAGCGGAAUUCUCGGAGUAGCGGUAAAAUGCGUAGAUCUCGAGAGGAACACCGGUGGCGAAGGCGGCUUCUUGGUUCAUUUCUGACGUUGAUACACGAAAGCGUGGGUAGCAAACAGG
rnacentral:rRNA from 1 species